CCAUGCAGCAUGUGACAGUGACAGUGCUUUAUCAGUAAUGGUCCCCUAAAGGCUGAAUGGAGAAGUGAGAGUCCAGAGGUGUGUCUAGGAGGAAAUGGUCCUUGUGAGGCCGGGCACUGUCUGUGGUCUCGGGCCUCUGCAGAAUGUGACCUGCUGUGAAUGAGGGCGAGGACAGACCCUGUGCGAUUGAUGAAGAUGACGCAGUGGGAUAACACAGACACUGGCGGAGGACACAGCACCCUAGGAGGCCCUCUACCCUACCAUCCUGCAAAAAUGGUCUCUGAGGCUCCUCCCGGCCCGGACUUUCUGGAACCCUCCCACUGCUCAUCAUAGGCAGCUCUUAUUUUCCUUGCAUUUUCAUCCCCUGUCCCCUUUUUCCUUCUUUACUUCCCCUUUCUCUUCUGUCUGGCUUUUAUUGUCUCCUCUUUGGAAAAAAAUCCUGUCUUUGGGAAAA